UACGGAGGAUGCGAGCGUUAUCCGGAUUUAUUGGGUUUAAAGGGUGCGUAGGCGGGACCUUAAGUCAGCGGUAAAAUUGCGGUGCUCAACGCCGUAGAGCCGUUGAAACUGGGGUUCUUGAGUGAGCGAGAAGUAUGCGGAAUGCGCAGUGUAGCGGUGAAAUGCUUAGAUAUUGCGCAGAACUCCGAUUGCGAAGGCAGCAUACCGGCGGCGAUCUGACGCUGAGGCACGAAAGCGUGGGUAUCGAACAGG
rnacentral:rRNA from 1 species